UACGUAGGGGGCAAGCGUUGUCCGGAAUCAUUGGGCGUAAAGAGCGUGUAGGCGGCCAGAUAAGUCCGCUGUGAAAUCUCGAGGCUCAACUUCGAGCUGUCGGUGGAAACUGUCUGGCUAGAGUCCGGAAGAGGAGAGUGGAAUUCCUGGUGUAGCGGUGAAAUGCGCAGAUAUCAGGAGGAACACCCGUGGCGAAAGCGGCUCUCUGGGACGGUACUGACGCUGAGACGCGAAAGCGUGGGGAGCAAACGGG
rnacentral:rRNA from 1 species